AUUUAAGUAGCUUAUAUAAUAGAGCAUAAUAUUGAAGAUAUUAAAGAGAUUAUUAAAUCCUUGAAUA
rnacentral:tRNA from 1 species